GAUGAACGCUGGCGGCGUGCUUAACACAUGCAAGUCGAACGGAAAGGCUCCUGCUUGCAGGGGUACUCGAGUGGCGAACGGGUGAGUAACACGUGGGUGAUCUGCCCUGCACUUCGGGAUAAGCCUGGGAAACUGGGUCUAAUACCGGAUAGGACGAUGGUUUGGAUGCCAUUGUGGAAAGUUUUCCGGUGUGGGAUGAGCUCGCGGCCUAUCAGCUUGUUGGUGGGGUAAUGGCCUACCAAGGCGUCGACGGGUAGCCGGCCUGAGAGGGUGUACGGCCACAUUGGGACUGAGAUACGGCCCAGACUCCUACGGGAGGCAGCAGUGGGGAAUAUUGCACAAUGGGCGCAAGCCUGAUGCAGCGACGCCGCGUGGGGGAUGACGGCCUUCGGGUUGUAAACUCCUUUCGCUAGGGACGAAGCGCAAGUGACGGUACCUGGAGAAGAAGCACCGGCUAACUACGUG
rnacentral:rRNA from 1 species